CCUACGGGUGGCAGCAGUAGGGAAUAUUGCUCAAUGGGGGAAACCCUGAAGCAGCCACGCCGCGUGGAGGAUGAAGGUUUUCGGAUUGUAAACUCCUUUUGUUAGAGAAGAUAAUGACGGUAUCUAACGAAUAAGCACCGGCUAACUCCGUGCCAGCAGCCGCGGUAAUACGGAGGGUGCAAGCGUUACCCGGAAUCACUGGGCGUAAAGGGCGCGUAGGCGGGAUAGCAAGUCAGAUGUGAAAUCCUAUGGCUUAACCAUAGAACUGCAUUUGAAACUGUUAUUCUAGAGUAUGGGAGAGGUAGGUGGAAUUCGUGGUGUAGGGGUAAAAUCCGUAGAGAUCAAGAGGAAUACUCAUUGCGAAGGCGACCUGCUAGAACAUAACUGACGCUGAUGCGCGAAAGCGUGGGGAGCAAACAGGAUUAGAUACCCGUGUAGUC
rnacentral:rRNA from 1 species